GAAAAGAAGAUGUCUGAACUGAGGAAGAAUAUAUCUUAGUUGAAGAGUUCCCUUGCUAAGAAGGAUAGUGAAUUCAACUCUUCUGCUACCACCCUAGAAAGUCGAAAAGAUGCUUAUUUUCUUCUUGAGCUUAAGAAUGCUAACUUAUCCCAUAGUUAUGACAAGCUUUUGGCCAAGGUUGAUGUCUACCACAAAGCUGCUAAACAAUCCAAGUCUGAGGCUGACAUUGAUGCGUAC
rnacentral:lncRNA from 1 species